rnacentral:rRNA from 1 species
CUUUUACAAUGAAGAGUUUGAUCCUGGCUCAGGAUGAACGCUAGCUACAGGCUUAACACAUGCAAGUCGAGGGGCAUCAGGAAGAAAGCUUGCUUUCUUUGCUGGCGACCGGCGCACGGGUGAGUAACACGUAUCCAACCUGCCCUUUACUCGGGGAUAGCCUUUCGAAAGAAAGAUUAAUACCCGAUAGUAUAAUCAUUCCGCAUGGUUUGAUUAUUAAAGGAUUCCGGUAAAGGAUGGGGAUGCGUUCCAUUAGGUUGUUGGUGAGGUAACGGCCCACCAAGCCUUCGAUGGAUAGGGGUUCUGAGAGGAAGGUCCCCCACAUUGGAACUGAGACACGGUCCAAACUCCUACGGGAGGCAGCAGUGAGGAAUAUUGGUCAAUGGGCGCGAGCCUGAACCAGCCAAGUAGCGUGAAGGAUGACUGCCCUAUGGGUUGUAAACUUCUUUUAUAUUAGAAUAAAGUGCAGUAUGUAUACUGUUUUGUAUGUAUAAUAUGAAUAAGGAUCGGCUAACUCCGUGCCAGCAGCCGCGGUAAUACGGAGGAUCCGAGCGUUAUCCGGAUUUAUUGGGUUUAAAGGGAGCGUAGGUGGACUGGUAAGUCAGUUGUGAAAGUUUGCGGCUCAACCGUAAAAUUGCAGUUGAUACUGUCAGUCUUGAGUACAGUAGAGGUGGGCGGAAUUCGUGGUGUAGCGGUGAAAUGCUUAGAUAUCACGAAGAACUCCGAUUGCGAAGGCAGCUCACUGGACUGCAACUGACACUGAUGCUCGAAAGUGUGGGUAUCAAACAGGAUUAGAUACCCUGGUAGUCCACACAGUAAACGAUGAAUACUCGCUGUUUGCGAUAUACAGUAAGCGGCCAAGCGAAAGCAUUAAGUAUUCCACCUGGGGAGUACGCCGGCAACGGUGAAACUCAAAGGAAUUGACGGGGGCCCGCACAAGCGGAGGAACAUGUGGUUUAAUUCGAUGAUACGCGAGGAACCUUACCCGGGCUUAAAUUGCAGUGGAAUGAUGUGGAAACAUGUCAGUGAGCAAUCACCGCUGUGAAGGUGCUGCAUGGUUGUCGUCAGCUCGUGCCGUGAGGUGUCGGCUUAAGUGCCAUAACGAGCGCAACCCUUAUCUUCAGUUACUAACAGGUCAUGCUGAGGACUCUGGAGAGACUGCCGUCGUAAGAUGUGAGGAAGGUGGGGAUGACGUCAAAUCAGCACGGCCCUUACGUCCGGGGCUACACACGUGUUACAAUGGGGGGUACAGAAGGCAGCUACCUGGUGACAGGAUGCUAAUCCCAAAAGCCUCUCUCAGUUCGGAUCGAAGUCUGCAACCCGACUUCGUGAAGCUGGAUUCGCUAGUAAUCGCGCAUCAGCCACGGCGCGGUGAAUACGUUCCCGGGCCUUGUACACACCGCCCGUCAAGCCAUGGGAGCCGGGGGUACCUGAAGUACGUAACCGCAAGGAGCGUCCUAGGGUAAAACUGGUGACUGGGGCUAAGUCGUAACAAGGUAGCCGUACCGGAAGGUGCGGCUGGAACACCUCCUUUCU